rnacentral:lncRNA from 1 species
CAGAUUAUAGGUGUCCCGGAAGGAGAAGAGAGAGACAAAGGGGCAGAAAAUUUAUGUGAAGAAAUAAUAGAUGAAAAUUUUCCUAAUCUGAGGCAGGAAACAGACAUCCAAGUUCAGGAAGCACAGAGAGCUCCAAACAAGAAAAUGGUAUUUACAAAAGCAUUUCAAUUUGAAGUGUCAAUCAAAGUAUAUGCAGGCAAAACUGUAAGGAAAAAGUAUUAUAGAGAUGUGAAAACAGGAGCAAAGAAAAUUGGAGCAACACGCCUGAAGCUACACAGUUGCAGAGGCAGGAUUUCAACAAAUAUCAAAACUAUGAAAAGGAUGAAGCUAACGCAGGAUGUUGUGGAGAGAGGUGGCUAAGAUCAGGCAAAAUCGAGGCUGGGAGAAUCUAAGUGACUGACACAAGGGCACGCAGCCACGCCAGGCCAGUCCCGCUGCUCUGUGCACCUGACAUUGAGGGACAAGAGAAAGAUGACGUAGACACUUCCCCAGUCGCUCUCUUUCAUAACACCUGAUCAUUUAUUCUGUAGCCUUUAUUAUUUGGAGAAAUCAUCCAGUUGGCUGUUCUCUUGUUUACAUUGUUUAUAUUAUUUUUUGACAUAUUUACAUUUAUUUUUCCUUAAAGAAAUAAAAUGUUACAG